CCUACGGGAGGCAGCAGUGGGGAAUUUUGGACAAUGGGCGCAAGCCUGAUCCAGCAAUGCCGCGUGCAGGAUGAAGGCCUUCGGGUUGUAAACUGCUUUUGUACGGAACGAAAAAGUCUGCCCUAAUACGGUGGGCCCAUGACGGUACCGUAAGAAUAAGCACCGGCUAACUACGUGCCAGCAGCCGCGGUAAUACGUAGGGUGCGAGCGUUAAUCGGAAUUACUGGGCGUAAAGCGUGCGCAGGCGGUUAUAUAAGACAGAUGUGAAAUCCCCGGGCUCAACCUGGGACCUGCAUUUGUGACUGUAUAGCUAGAGUACGGUAGAGGGGGAUGGAAUUCCGCGUGUAGCAGUGAAAUGCGUAGAUAUGCGGAGGAACACCGAUGGCGAAGGCAAUCCCCUGGACCUGUACUGACGCUCAUGCACGAAAGCGUGGGGAGCAAACAGGAUUAGAUACCCUGGUAGUCCACGCCCUAAACGAUGUCAACUGGUUGUUGGGUCUUCACUGACUCAGUAACGAAGCUAACGCGUGAAGUUGACCGCCUGGGGAGUACGGCGCAAGGUUGAAACUCAAAGGAUUGACGGCGNGAGAGNGACGAGACGACGACGAGGGAGGAGG
rnacentral:rRNA from 1 species